GCCUAACACAUGCAAGUCGAACGGGGUAGCAAUACCUAGUGGCGCACGGGUGAGUAACGCGUGGAUAAUCUGCCUUGGAGUGGGGGAUAACUAGUCGAAAGAUUAGCUAAUACCGCAUAAGACCACAGGAGCUGCGGCUCUAGGGGUCAAAGGUUUUUCGUUCCAAGAUGAGUCCGCGUAAGAUUAGCUAGUUGGUGAGGUAAUGGCUCACCAAGGCGACGAUCUUUAACUGGUCUGAGAGGAUGAUCAGUCACACUGGAACUGAGACACGGUCCAGACUCCUACGGGAGGCAGCAGUAGGGAAUAUUGCACAAUGGAGGAAACUCUGAUGCAGCGACGCCGCGUGAGUGAUGAAGGCCUUCGGGUCGUAAAGCUCUGUCGCAGGGGAAUAACACAAUGAAUGUACCCUGUAAGAAAGGAUCGGCUAACUUCGUGCCAGCAGCCGCGGUAAGACGAGGGAUCCUAGCGUUGUUCGGAAUUAUUGGGCGUAAAGCGGAUGUAGGUGGCUUUGUAAGUCAGAUGUGAAAGCCCAGGGCUCAACCCUGGAAGUGCAUUUGAUACUGCGAAGCUUGAGUGUCGGAGAGGUUACUAGAAUUGUUGGUGUAGUGGUGAAAUACGUAGAUAUCAACAGGAAUACCGGAGGCGAAGGCGGGUAACUGGCCGAACACUGACACUGAGAUCCGAAAGCGUGGGGAUCAAACAGGAUUAGAUACCCUGGUAGUCCACGCCGUAAACGAUGGAUACUUGUUGUUGGAGGUAUUGACCCCUUCAGUGACGAA
rnacentral:rRNA from 1 species